rnacentral:tRNA from 1 species
AUCUUUCUAGUAUCAAACAUAGUAUAAGUGACUUCCACUCACAUGGUCUUGGUUAAAGUCCGAGGAAAGAAA